CGACGGGUGAGUAACACGUAUCCAACCUGCCGUCUACUCUUGGCCAGCCUUCUGAAAGGAAGAUUAAUCCAGGAUGGGAUCAUGAGUUCACAUGUCCGCAUGAUUAAAGGUAUUUUCCGGUAGACGAUGGGGAUGCGUUCCAUUAGAUAGUAGGCGGGGUAACGGCCCACCUAGUCAACGAUGGAUAGGGGUUCUGAGAGGAAGGUCCCCCACAUUGGAACUGAGACACGGUCCAA
rnacentral:rRNA from 1 species